AUGUUGACAGUGAAAGUUGGUGUGAACAGGAUGUUUCAGUUCCUCUCCCUCAUCAGAGACAGCUCCAGCCUCCCUCCUCCUGUCCUGACAGUCUUCCCUCCGUCCAGUUCUGAGCUCCGCUCCAACAAAGCCUCUCUGGUCUGUCUGUCCAGUCAGUCUGUGCCUUUUGCACAUGUGAGCUGGUUGGUUGAUGGGAGUCCAGUGAGCACUGGGGUCUCUACCAGCACCGCUGUCCAGAGACCAGACCAGAUGUUCCACAUCAGCAGCUCUCUGUCCAUCCAGACCUCAGACUGGAACAUGAAUAAGGUUUACACCUGUAAAGUGUCUGUGGACUCCCAGUCUGAGGAGAAAACCAUCAACAAGUCAGGAUGUGCUGAAGAAUAA